AUAUUAUAUAUAAGUGUUAAAGCUCUGGAUUCUAUCAGAACUCUACAGUUAAGCACACUUGGGUUAGAGUAGUACUGGGAUGGGUGUCCUUUCGGGAAAUCCUAGUGUUCAAUAUA
rfam:Picea glauca, whole genome shotgun sequence.